rnacentral:lncRNA from 1 species
UGUUUAGUUCAAGUGUGGGGGAUGUUUUAUUAUGCUUUUUGUUUUAUGUUUUUAUUUGCGUUUUGUUUUAUGUUUUAUUUUAUUAUUUCCCAUUUUUUUACUGUUUUACAUUUGGUUUAUUUUUACUAUUGGGUAUUAUGAUUUAUUGCAUGUAUUUCAGGUUCUUGGGUAUCAUUCCCUGAGGAUCAACGAAGUAGUAUCUUAUAUGAUAUAAUCAAGAUAUUCGAACAAUGGAAUUUUACCUCAAUCGUAUCUAAAGAUUCUAUGAGGAUACUAGAGCAAUAUCUCAAGUAAGAGCUAAUGAGAUUCCUUGAGGAUCAACAAAGCAGUAUCUUAUAUGAUAUAAUCGAGAUAUUUCAAUAAUGGAAUGAUACCUCAAUCGUAUCUAAA